UACAGAACGCCCGGGCUUCGGCCUGGUUAUUCAUAACCCUUUGUUGUCCGACUCUGUUGCCUCCGGGGCGACCCUGCCUUCGGGCGGGGGCUCCGGGUGGACACUUCAAACUCUUGCGUAACUUUGCAGUCUGAGUAAACUUAAUUAAUAAAUUAAAACUUUUAACAACGGAUCUCUUGGUUCUGGCAUCGAUGAAGAACGCAGCGAAAUGCGAUAAGUAAUGUGAAUUGCAGAAUUCAGUGAAUCAUCGAAUCUUUGAACGCACAUUGCGCCCCCUGGUAUUCCGGGGGGCAUGCCUGUUCGAGCGUCAUUUCACCACUCAAGCCUCGCUUGGUAUUGGGCAACGCGGUCCGCCGCGUGCCUCAAAUCGUCCGGCUGGGUCUUCUGUCCCCUAAGCGUUGUGGAAACUAUUCGCUAAAGGGUGUUCGGGAGGCUACGCCGUAAAACAACCCCAUUUCUAAGGUUGACCUCGGAUCACGUAGGGAUACCCGCUGAACUUAAGCAUAUCA
rnacentral:rRNA from 1 species